GACGAACGCUGGCGGCGUGCCUAAUACAUGCCAGUCGAACGCAUUUUCUUUCACCGUAGCUUGCUACACCGAAAGAAAAUGAGUGGCGAACGGGUGAGUAACACGUGGGUAACCUGCCCAUCAGCGGGGGAUAACACUUGGAAACAGGUGCUAAUACCGCAUAAUUCCAUUUACCGCAUGGUAAAUGGAUGAAAGGCGCUUUUGCGUCACUGAUGGAUGGACCCGCGGUGCAUUAGCUAGUUGGUGGGGUAACGGCCUACCAAGGCUGCGAUGCAUAGCCGACCUGAGAGGGUGAUCGGCCACACUGGGACUGAGACACGGCCCAGACUCCUACGGGAGGCAGCAGUAGGGAAUCUUCGGCAAUGGACGCAAGUCUGACCGAGCAACGCCGCGUGAGUGAAGAAUGUUUUCGGAUCGUAAAACUCUGUUGUUAGAGAAGAACAAGGAUGAGAGUGGAAAGUUCAUCCCUUGACGGUAUCUAACCAGAAAGCCACGGCUAACUACGUG
rnacentral:rRNA from 1 species